GGUGGCUCAGUGGUAAAGUACUUGCCUUGCAUGCAUGAGGCCCUGGGUUCAAUUCCUCAGCACCA
rnacentral:tRNA from 1 species